rnacentral:rRNA from 1 species
GACGAACGCUGGCGGCGUGCUUAACACAUGCAAGUCGAACGGAAAGGCCCUGCUUGCAGGGUACUCGAGUGGCGAACGGGUGAGUAACACGUGGGUGAUCUGCCCUGCACUUCGGGAUAAGCCUGGGAAACUGGGUCUAAUACCGGAUAGGAGCCAUUUUUAGUGUGAUGGUUGGAAAGUUUUUUCGGUGUAGGAUGAGCUCGCGGCCUAUCAGCUUGUUGGUGGGGUAAUGGCCUACCAAGGCGGCGACGGGUAGCCGGCCUGAGAGGGUGGACGGCCAAAUUGGGACUGGGAUACGGCCCAGACUCCUACGGGAGGCAGCAGUGGGGAAUAUUGCACAAUGGGCGCAAGCCUGAUGCAGCGACGCCGCGUGGGGGAUGACGGCCUUCGGGUUGUAAACUCCUUUCGCUAGGGACGAAGCUUUUUGUGACGGUACCUAGAUAAGAAGCACCGGCUAACUACGUG